GGGGGAGCCGCAAACGCCAAGGCCAUUCAGGACCCAUCCUCUUACAGCAACCUUAAAAGACAUCAGGAGGAGAGAUACACCUUCUAGUCUGGGGGCUCAGAAUACCAUGAAUGUGAAGAGCCAGUUUUACUCCUAUAUCAUCUCCAGUGUGCUGAUGAGGAAACCAUGGCACAAAGAGGUUAAAUAACCUGUAAAUAAAUAAAGAAUCUGAGCUGAGCUUCAAACGUGGGCAGUCUGGCUUCAGGUCCCUGGUUUCCACCACUGUA
rnacentral:lncRNA from 1 species